UACAGAGGGUGCGAGCGUUGUCCGGAAUCACUGGGCGUAAAGGGCGCGUAGGCGGUUUGGCAAGUCUAUGGUGAAAGCUCGCCGCUCAACGGCGAGUCGGCCACGGAUACUGCUGAACUGGAGCACUGUAGAGGCAGGUGGAAUUCCGGGGUGUAGCGGUGGAAUGCGUAGAGAUCCGGAAGAACACCGGUGGCGAAGGCGGCCUGCUGGGCAGUAGCUGACGCUGAGGCGCGACAGCGGUGGGGAGCAAACAGG
rnacentral:rRNA from 1 species